CCAUUGUAUGUUGCUGGCUGAUAAGAUGCACAAAGCUGAUUUUUCUCUGAUAUUCCUCUGCUUUUGAGAAUACUAAGAGGCAAGUUGCCACACACAGAGGAACCGGUCCCUCUCAUAUACUUCAAGUACACUGCUGUCAUAGCCUUCUCUGGGAGAACAUAUGGACAUGGCACUGAUUUCACAUCUUUCAUCUCUCUGCAAUUAGGCUGAAGAAGCCCGGUUCUUUCAACUUGUCUUCAUAGGAGAGGUGCUCCAGCCCUUGGAUCCUUUUCAUGGCCCACUCUGGACGCUCUCCAAACCAAGUUUUUGGAAAUGCUCUCCAUGCAGCAAUCUCAACAACUUCCAUCUGCCUGUUUUAAUGGCAAAAGAAGGACUGUGACUCAGACCUAUAUCAGAGGGCAGGAGGACAUUACAUAUUGACACAUGCUGUCAAUCCAUUUCCAGAUGCUGCUUGGGCUUUUCACACUACUGAAUGUUGACUUUCCUCAGACAAGAUAUGGCUUGUUUCCUGUAGAAGAUUAAGGGACAAUUUCACUGCUCCAGAGACUAUUUCACUUAACAAAGAAAAUUAUAUACUGAAAAAUUAUACAUAUUCUACACAAACAAAACCAGGAAGAGGAAGGAAAGAAAGAAGUUUGUAAUGUCAGGCCUGCUGCUUUCAUGUUUCUCGUGUGCUCAGUCCUGAACUAGCAGCAACAGCAAUGGCACAGAGCUACUCCUCAGUUUUUACAUCAGAACAACAUACUGUGACUGUUCUGUGCUGAUGCGUGUGACAUUUUAGAGCACAAGCACACAUUUCUGAAACACAGGAAUUCCCUUCUCAUGGUUGGAAGGAAUCCUUAGAAGAGUCAGUGUUGAUGUGGGUCUGUCUGAUUGGGUUGAUAAGAAUGAAGGAUGAAAAUGCCUUCCUGAUGUAUUAGACCAUCCAUUUCUAUGGUUAGGAGGAAGACCAUGGCCAACACUUAAAGAAAAGCCUUCAGGUCUUGGUUCAUUCUCUGCUGGAGCCCAUAUCCCAAGGAACAUUGCAGAAGAAACAAAUUUUCAUUUGUAAGGGCUUUUCUACCACAUCAGCUAUUCCCAACUGUUUCAGCAAACAAUAGAGGCAAAUACAGUAAAGCUUUAUAUCAUCAGAUUUAUCCAGCACAGCAUGCUCCAAGGAGAUUAGAUGGAUCCAUCCAUAUCUGUGCCAUUUUGUCAGCCUCACUCUAACAGGAGACCUUGUAAGAGAUGCACUGACUCCCACAUGAGUAUCUUGCAUUCAGCUGCAGAAGGGCUGUUCUCUUUUGCUCUUUUGAGCCAGUGUGUUACAGUUGUAUGCUGCUGGGCCAAGAAUAAUUGUUUCAAUUUUCAAGGAAGGGGACAAAAUCUGGCUCUGGAAGACCAGUGAGAGCUAGUUAAUAGAGCUUAUUGGGAAAACAAUGUUGGAAUAGAGAAUCCACGUUCAUUACCAUUGACACAUAUACAAAAUGGCAUAAUUUCCUCAGUAAUUUCCUUCAACAAAGGGGAACCAAAAGAGAAGCUGACACAUGUGGAAACAUUUUUACACAUACUUUUUUUUUUUCCCCAUUUAAUUUCCAUAAAUUGCAUUUAAUUUUUCAAUUUAAUUUUUCCAUUUAAUUUUAUAAUUUACUACAAAAUCUAAAAUGGCCACAUUUCAAAAUGAAAUAUCCAGGUCGACCUGACACUAAUCCUUUAUGAAAUACUUUUCUGCAUAGAAUUUGGGAAGUUUCUGCUGCUGCCGUUGCUGAUGAGAACAAGUGUCCAUUCCAUUGCCGGAUGGAAUUUCCAUCUCUUGAAAGGCUCCAUUAAUGAACUGUGACUUUAAGGGGUCUGAAAGGCCAUGAUUUUUCUCACUGCACACUUGCAAGAAUCAGAUUAUCAGGUGGAUAACAGCAGCUUGGGGGCAAAUGGUUGCUAUAAGGUCUCAUUACUAGAGUGAUUGGCCUGAGAUAGCUUCUACUGAAUGGCUUCUGUAGUCAGCUAAUACUUUGUUACCUAGGAUUUACCUUUUGCUACUAGUUUUGUUCCCAAUGCACCUAGCAUGGACUCUCAUUAUUUCUGCGAUUUCUCACAAGGUUUUUUAAUAGCACAAUAUGGUGUAUGGUGAAGUUUAGAAUUGCACCCAUCGUCAUAUUACUGUUGCAAUGUCUCCCAUCACCCCUCCACAAUCCACUUAUUUUUCUCAUUUAUUUUUGUCUCUUAGCUGAUAGUCUCUUUGAAACAAGUACUGUCAUUUUCUGUGUGUAUCUUAAUGGCACCUGCCACAGUGAAAGGCCAGGCCAGCUGAGAAAUGCUAUUAUAUAAUUUUGUAAUAAUUUUAAUUAUAAUCAAAGAGGCAGAUACUUAUAG